UCCUGCCUCAGCCUCCUGAGUAGCUGGAUUACAGGCAUACCUGGCAUUUCUAUUCCUUUUUGGAUGGUUGCCCCCAAAGAUGACCCCAAAAGGACUCAGAGCUACCUAGGAGGUGACCCCAGGAAGCACCAUGGCAGAAACUGACCCCCAGGCUAAGAGAACAAAUCGCUGCCUUUCUGGAACAGCUACAAAAUGACACACCAGGCCUGCACUGCUGACAGCGAGGCCGAGAUGCAAACCCCAGGGGCCCGACAGAGAAAGGGAUUCCGACCUGGGAGCCCACCACCAAUGUAAGGACUCACAUUUCCUUCGGGGUUACGGCCAUCCGAGCUCUGACCAGGUCCAGGGGGUAGGUCAGUGAAGCGGCUGUCGUUCCAGCCAGUGCUCCCGCGAAGAGGCGAGGCCAAGGGGGCAAGGCUCUGAACAGGGCAGGCGGAGAAGGGGAGACGGUAGUGAGGGGGUGCAGAUGCUCAGAGGCCUGGCCUGGAG